GGCGAGCGUUGUUCGGAAUUACUGGGCGUAAAGGGCGCGUAGGCGGUCCUUCAAGUCAGGCGUGAAAGCCCCGGGCUCAACCUGGGAACCGCGCUUGAGACUGGCGGACUCGAGUUCGGGAGAGGAUGGUGGAAUUCCCAGUGUAGAGGUGAAAUUCGUAGAUAUUGGGAAGAACCCCGAUGGCGAAGGCAGCCAUCUGGACCGACACUGACGCUGAGGCGCGAAAGCGUGGGGAGCAAACAGG
rnacentral:rRNA from 1 species